UGCUGAGUAGGUAGAGGUAGACUAGAAAAGAAGAUGCAGGGUUCAGUUCCAGACACAGUAAGUUCCAGGCGACCCCUGGAUCCAGGGAUGGCAUGAAUGGGUCGUAUGAAUGGGGCACAUGAGGUGGGCCUGGAGCAUGUAUACUGUCAUAUACCAACGGUAUAUGACUAAUGGCGGACUAUUUACGUGAUAGUGCUCCCAUAGAUUAGAAUUGAAGCUGAAAAGUUCCUUUUGUUGGUGACAUCUAUAGCUGCUGAAAGGUUGGUGCAAUUCAUUACAUUUGUGAGGAUGCUAGUGUCAACACACCCACUGUGCCAUGAGCCAUCCAGCCGCGGGGCACACGCAACACUCGGUGGUGAUGACAAUGGCUGUUACCGGCUUAGGUUUUACUGUACCACACUUAUUUAUUUUAGUAUUCUCUUAGCAUAUAACUCCUACUAUAAAAGGCAGCUAAUGUAAAACACUGUGUCGUCUUACACCAUCAGCCUUAUGGUGCCCUGUUUACAAAGUCUCUCAAUUACGUGGAGGCCAUGUGGCCUGACUGGCCCACGCCAUCUAGGGUUGUUUAAGUGUAUGCCAGGGUGUUUGCUUAAUGACACAAUAAACCCACUGAUGUCAUAUUAGGAAGUAUCCCUGUCUCUACGUGUUACAUGGCCGUAUGUUCAGCUGGCAGCUAUGAGCACAGGGAGAAAAGGCAACAGAGAGCUUUGGGGACACCUUCCUUCCAGAGGAAGGGAACGAAGCCAGAACUCUGACAUGCAUAUCUGUGCAACUGACGGCAGAAAAAGGAUGUGGAUCUAGCGAGACAAGGGAGAGGAGUUUCCGAGAGAUCACGUAACUGGAGUUUUUAGGUCACAAGCCACACCUCUGGCGGCCUCCGUAAAAUUAGCCCGUCACGCGCCCCCCAAUGUGACAAUUAAAGGAGUAACGGUGGAAAGCAGAGAAAGGAAAUGUAAUCAACACAACCACGCGGAAGAGGGGCAGAUCGAGGGGUCCAGCUCAUCUUCAGGGUGGUUCAUGAGCUGUCCGUCUAACAGAGCAAGAACUGGGGCAAAGCUGCUCUGCUCCGGCGUUUCACCGGGGACCCAGUCAGGAGAAGGUCAAACCAUGAAGGAUGGGAGGUAUUUUCAACCGUCAGCUCCUUGUUGACGCUCUUUGCUGGAACCCCCAAUCCAGAACAUUGGUUUUCCUGACUCAAGCAAGGGAUGAUGGACGCUGGUCAGCUGGGGCUGAAGAAUCUGCUGAGAUUAAGAAGAGGCCAGCAUCAUUGAGGCCAAGUCUUCUUGGAAGCUUUUCCUCAGGGUCAGCACCCAGAAGCUGUUUCCCAGAAGUGGCCAAGGUUGUACCUCCUGUUGACAGUCAAACCUGGUAGUGUAAGAGUCUCCCAGGUGGUACUGGUUUUGAAGACAUGAAGGAGUCAUGGAGAGCAGCUGAGGCUUGGCCCUGUGUGGCAGGGCUGGAGUCCAUGGAGAGAGCCCUGGAGAGGCUACUGGUGAAAGGGCAGCCCAGUUGCAGCAGAAGACCCAGCAUUUUGUAAAUGCCAGCGCCAUGGCAUGGCCACCAAGAACAUCAGCACAGUAGACUGAAGCUAUCGGGAGCCUAAAAGACAAGCUGUGUGUGCUACAGAGGGUAGAGCUGGAGAAGUGGCCACGUCCGUUGGAGGAGCUUAGUUUUGCUUUGUUCGGCCUGUGAUUGUGCCCUGGUUCUUCCCUCCUGAAGUGAGAAAGUAUUCAACUUAUUUUUUAUUUUACAAGAUCUCACAGUUGAGAGACUGAUUUUUUUUUUUUUUUUAGAGAUUUUAGGUUUCAAAAACAGAUUGAAUUUUAAAGUGUUUGAAUUUGUAAAGACUGUGAGACUUCAUAAGUUUGAAAAUGCUUUAUAUUGUGGUGUUGAUAUUAAUGUGCUGUCUUGGGGAUGAGCAAGAAAGGAAAGGUUGUGGCUUAGGGUGAUGUUUGUAUGUCAGGUUGACAAGGGGUCAAUUGUACUGUUAUUUUAUGUCAACUCGAUACAAGCUAAAGUCAUCCAAGAGGAAGGAAUCUCCAUUAAUAAAAUGCCUCCAUAAGAUCUGGCUGUACACAAGCCUUACAUUAAUUUCUUAAUUAAUGAUUGAUGGGGGAGGGCCCAGACUACUGUGGAUGGCAUGUGGUCCUGGGUUCUAUAAGAAAGCAGGCUAAGCAAGCCAUGGAGAGCCAGCCAGUAAGCAGCUCCCCUCUAUGGUCUCUGUAUCAGCUCCUGCCUCCUGGUUCCAGCCCUGUUUGAGCUCCUUCAUUGGUGAACAGUGAUGUGGAAGUGUAAGAAAAAUAAACCCUUUCCUCCUCCCCAAGUUGCUUUGGUCAUGGUGUUUCAUUACAGCGAUAGGAACCCUAAGACAGGUGUAUUAAAUACUGUCUUGACUUAUACUAUUUUCCUCUUAAGAUGGAAGGAGGGGAUCUUAUGUUACCCAGGCUCAUUUCAAACAUGCUAUGUAAUAGAAGCUGGCCUUGGACUCUUUCUUAACCCUCCUGCCCUGAUAAGUGCUAGAAUUAUACUUGUGUUACUAUGUCUGGCUUGACUUACAGUAUUUUCAGUACAUCAUGGUUUUAUCGGGAACUUACUCCACUGUAAGCGGAGGACCAUCCACAUACAUGCAAUAGACUCUUAUUUAGUCAUAAGGGGAAGUUCUGAUAUAUGCUACACCAUGAGUGAACCUUAAGUGAGGUAAGCUAGACACAAAAAGACAAAUAUUGCAUGACUUCACUUACAUGAAAUAUCUAGAGUAGGUCAAUCCAGAGGGACAUACAGUAAGUUACAGGUUACCAGGGACCAUGGCCCAUGAAGCUAAUCCCUGGAAACCCACAUGGGAGCAAGGGGGUACUAAGAAAGUCAGACCCAAGCAAAAUGAAGCUGGGAUCCCCUGAGC